GGGGCUGUAGUUCAGUGGUAGAGUGCUUGCCUUGCAUGUGUGAGGCACUGGGUUUGAUCCUCAGCCCCA
rnacentral:tRNA from 1 species